rnacentral:lncRNA from 1 species
AAAAGCUAAGAACCGUCUCUUAAUUAAUAAAUAUAAAAGCCGUCUCUUAGCUAAAAAGUGUAAAAAAAAAAAGUCAAAUCACGAGUUAAGAACUCCGGUUAAGAAACCGGAGUUAAUCAUGCCCUUACACAAUAUUUCUCGUUAAGACGCUUGAGUUUAAAUGCUCAAGGUUAAAACGGAAUCAGAUAGCUGCCAAUAAACUACCAGUCUACCAUAGUCCAUAGGGAAAUAAAAUCACGAAAGCCUUCGG